AUUGAACGCUGGCGGCAUGCUUUACACAUGCAAGUCGAACGGUAACAGGCCGCAAGGUGCUGACGAGUGGCGAACGGGUGAGUAAUGCAUCGGAACGUGCCCAGUCGUGGGGGAUAACGCAGCGAAAGCUGCGCUAAUACCGCAUACGAUCUAUGGAUGAAAGCGGGGGACCGAAAGGCCUCGCGCGAUUGGAGCGGCCGAUGUCAGAUUAGGUAGUUGGUGGGGUAAAGGCUCACCAAGCCGACGAUCUGUAGCUGGUCUGAGAGGACGGCCAGCCGCACUGGGACUGAGACACGGCCCAGACUCCUACGGGAGGCAGCAGUGGGGAAUUUUGGACAAUGGGCGCAAGCCUGAUCCAGCAAUGCCGCGUGCAGGAAGAAGGCCUUCGGGUUGUAAACUGCUUUUGUACGGAACGAAAAGGCUCUGGUUAAUACCUGGGGCUCAUGACGGUACCGUAAGAAUAAGCACCGGCUAACUACGUGCCAGCAGCCGCAGUAAAAC
rnacentral:rRNA from 1 species